UAUCUUGAUUAAUAUAUAUAU
rnacentral:piRNA from 1 species